rnacentral:rRNA from 1 species
AGUGAACGCUGGCGGUAGGCCUAACACAUGCAAGUCGAACGGCAGCACAGUAAGAGCUUGCUCUUACGGGUGGCGAGUGGCGGACGGGUGAGGAAUACAUCGGAAUCUACUUUUUCGUGGGGGAUAACGUAGGGAAACUUACGCUAAUACCGCAUACGACCUACGGGUGAAAGCAGGGGAUCUUCGGACCUUGCGCGAUUGAAUGAGCCGAUGUCGGAUUAGCUAGUUGGCGGGGUAAAGGCCCACCAAGGCGACGAUCCGUAGCUGGUCUGAGAGGAUGAUCCGCCACACUGGAAUUAAGCCGCGGUCCAAUCUCCUACGGGGGGCGGCGGUGGGAAAUAUUGGACUGAGGGCGCAACCCCGAUCAAGGCUUACCGCGGAGGUGAGAAGGGCCUUGGGGUUGUAAAACCCUUUUUUGGGGAAAAAAAAGAGACGGGUUAAAUCCCCACUGUUCUGACGGAACCCAAAGAAUAAACACCGGCUACCUUCGU